rnacentral:lncRNA from 1 species
AUGGGGAGCAGGUUAACUUCCACUUUACAGGUGAGGAAAUUGGGUCUCGCAUUCCACAGCUUCUUGCCAGGAUGGGGCAGAAUGGAGCUUCAACCUCUAUCAGAGCUGCUCAUCUUGAGGAGGAAAGAACUACAUUCAGAGGUUAGCUACUGGUACCGCUCUGAGUCACUGGGAGGUAAGAGGAUAACUGGUAAACCGCAAAUGAAGAGAUAAGGGAGGCGUAUAUCUCCCACUGUGAAUGCUAAUAUGGGCAUUUCAGCUGUGUUCUUCGCAGUAAGCACUUUAUCACCC